rnacentral:rRNA from 1 species
UACGUAGGGUGCGAGCGUUAAUCGGAAUUACUGGGCGUAAAGUGUGCGCAGGCGGCCGAGCAAGUCGAGUGUGAAAGCCCCGAGCUUAACUUGGGAACUGCGCUCGAAACUACUUGGCUAGAGUGUGGCAGAGGGAGGUGGAAUUCCACGUGUAGCGGUGAAAUGCGUAGAGAUGUGGAGGAACACCGAUGGCGAAGGCAGCCUCCUGGGCUAACACUGACGCUGAGGCGCGAAAGCCAGGGGAGCAAACGGG